UUUUUUUUUUUUUUUUUUUUUUUUUGCUUUUAAGGCUGUACCUGCAGCAUACGAAAGUUUCCAGGCUAGGGGUCAAAUUGGAGCUACGGCUGCUGGCCUAUGACAUAGCCACAACAAUGUGGGUUGAGUGUCUGUGACUUCCACCACAGCUCACAGCAAUGCUGGAUCCUUAAUCCACUGAACAAGGCCGGAGAUCGAACCCACAUCUUAAUGGAUACUAAUUUGGUUCUUUACCAUUGAGCCACAACAGGAACUCCCAUUCAAACAUUUCAUUUAUGAGAACAAUUUGCAAUAAUUAUUCCAUUAUUAUAUUCUACUAUUAUUUAAAUGUAAAAUAUAAACUCUACUACUUCUAUAGAUAUUUAAGAAAUACAGGGAAAAUCAUAUAACAUGUUAAGAAAAGAGUGAACAGGGUAGAUAUUUCAUAGUCUAUCUUUAACUCAAAACAUUUCAUGUAAAUUUUAUGAAAUGUGGAGGCUAAGCCCUGGCAUAAUCUAAGCUAAUGUGUUUUUAUAAAAUAAAUGUAUAGAGAGAAUGAAAGGCAUCUCUAAUGACUGGAUUCACAGAAUUGUAAAAGAUACGGUACAGGAAAAAUCAUCAAUAUUUACAGUGUAUAUACCAGCAGAAAUUUGAAAGAACUUGACUUUAAAAGGUGGCAGUUAUCAGAAUCAAAAGAACAGUUUAAUUAUUUGAUGUGUGAUGGACUCUCUGCUUUUUAGAAGACUAGCUUGAGACUGACCAAGAUAACUUCAUUUUUAAGCAGCUUUCCAGUCUUCUGUGAAGUUAUUCAGAAAAAUCAGAAGCCUCUUAAAAUAAUAAGUCAAUAUUAUAGUUCAUAACCCAAGAAAAUCAUACAAUUUUUAAAAUCUUUUUUAGGGCUGCACCUGAGGCAUAUGGAGCAGCCCAAAGAAAUAGCAAAAAGACAAAAAUAAAUAAAUAAAUAAAUAAAAUAAAACAUUACACCCAGUACCACACUGUCUUGAUGACUGUGGCUUUGUAAUAUUGCCUGAAGUCUGAGAGAGUGAUGCCUCCUGCUUGGUUUUUAUUCCUCAGAAUUGCUUUGGUGAUUCUGGGUCUUUUUGUGGUUCCAUGUAAAUUUUUGGAUUGUUUGUUCUAGUUCUGUGAAAAGUGUCAUGGGUAAUUUGAUAGGGAUUGCAUUGAAUCUGUAGAUUGCUUUGGGUAGGAUGGCCAUUUUUAUAAUAUUAAUUUUUCCAACCCAGGAACAUGGAAUAUCUUUCCAUUUCUUUACAUCUUCUUUGAUUUCUUUGAUUAAAGUUUUAUAGUUCUCGGCAUAUAAGUCCUUUACCUCCUUGGUCAGGUAUAUUCCCAGGUAUUUGAUUUUUUGGGGUGCAAUUUUAAAAGCUAUUGUAUAUUUGUAUUCCUUUUCUAAUAUUUCAUUGUUAGUAUACAGAAAUGUGACUGAUUUCUGCAUGCUAAUCUUAUAGCCUGCUACUGUGCUGAAUUUGUUGAUCAGUUCAAGUAGUUUUUGGGUUGAGUCCUUAGGGUUUUCUAUAAAUAGUAUCAUGUCAUCUGCAUACAGUGACAGUUUUUCCUCUUUUCUUCCUAUUUGGAUGCCUCUGGGUCACCACGCUGUACAGCAGGAAAAAAAUUGUAUUGGUGAAAUAACUAUUAAAAAAAUAAAACAAAAUUAGUUUACUGAAAAAAAAAAAUUACACCCUAUCGUUGUACUACAGAGAUAUCAGUACUUGAAUUAAAGAGGUAUAAACAAAUUUAUGGUAUGCUGUUAGAAUCAGUUUAUAUGGAUUUUGUAGAAUACUGUUUCAAAGAAUAGCAGGAAAAGUUAUGACAUCCUUGUUCUCCAAAUCUUUAAAGACAAACUAAAAGGAAACCUUUUAGAGUUUAAUCUUCCAUGCACAUCAUUUCUAAAGAACAUAAUGUACUCUGUUAAAGGAAAAGCUAUAAAUUUUAAAAAUAUGUACAUAUGUAUAUUUAGACUCUUGAUAUCUCAAGAGAUUAGACAGAUCUUUUUGAAGGGUAAACUUAACUGUCUCAGCAAAUUCCAUACCUAAAGCCUAAUUCCAUUUCCAAGAAUUAAAAACUAUCCUAAAAUCUAAAUUGCUUAUAUUUUGAUAUUCAUAUCUUUCUGCCAUUUAUCCUUGCUCUGGUGAACUCAUGCAAAAACUAUCUAAAUGACACAAAAUCUCACUCUAAAGAAAUAAAGUCUAUAUAUGUAUAUGUAUAUAUCUAUAUAUGUAUAUCUACAUAUCUAUCCAUACAUACCACAUAUAAUAUAUGAACAUCAUAAGUUGUAGACUUUAUAAAUCUUUUAUGUUUGGUUACAUUUAUAAAAUAAUUAAUAUGUCAAAAAAAAUGAGAGGCUAAAAUUUCCUUUCUGUAUACUGUUUGCUGAUAGGGAAAAAAAUAAAUCUGAUGGUAAUGCACUGUCCCCUAGUGGAGAUAAAAAUAAAUGUUUAGCGUGUUCAAAUUUCUAGAACUGCAGGAAAAAAGCAGUCACCUGCUAAUAGUUUGAGAAAAACAAAACAGUCCUCCUCUCCAAAUGAAACGUGUUUGCUCUUACUCCUUUGAGUGAAACAAAUGUCUCCAAAAAAACUUAGUAACAAAAUACUUAGAAAAAGCCCUUGGGUUUACUUAUGAUCAUCACAUGGCACUUUUCGUCUCCUUUAUUUUCCAAGGCUGUCUGCUAUACUGCUAUCUCUUCUCCAGUAAAAAUCAUUUCCCAAUAUUUGUCUUUCUAAUUUACAACAAUUUUCAAAGACCUGGCUGUGAUGACUUCCUCUUAUGAAAUAAUGUAAAUUACUAGUGUGCAGUAAAAUAGAUGAUCAUAAUUCACCUCACGAUCUCGUAUUUUUAUUAGGUGUGCAUAUGUUUAGAUCGUAUUUUCUUAGCUAAAUUGUAGACAGUAUAAGACAACUCUCCCAAAUUAAAUACUAAAAUCAAAUAAAGUACAAUUCUUACAGUAGGUAUUCAAUGAGCUAACCAGAUUAAUUUGCUAAUUAAUUCUAUAAAGGUCUGGCUUCGUAUAUGACUAUUAAGACAUCUCUGAAACAUCAAAGUUUUUAGAUAAAGAAUACAUCAUUAUGGAAAUAACACUAACAAUAAAAAUAAGAAAAAACUUAUAUCUGUACUUGGAAACUAGAAAGGUGUCAAAAACUAAAAAUUUAUGCUACAUGAUUUCCCUCCUAUGAAAGAAAGCCUGGGGAGUUCCCUUUGAGGCUCAGUGGUUAAUGAAUCUGACUAGGAUCCAUGAAGAUGCAGGUUCAAUCUCUGGCCUUGCUCAGUGUGUUAAGACUGUGUUGCUGUGAGCUGUGAUGUAGGUCGCAGAUGCAGUUUGGAUCCUGCAUUGGUAUGGCUGUGGCUGUAGCUCUGAUUCAAACCCUAGACUGAGAACUUCCAUAUGCCAUGGGUGGGGCUCUAAAAAGACAAAAAAAAAAGCAAAGAAAGAAAGCCUGGUCUCAGAGGUAAGUGACAGUGAUAAAUUUACAUUAGUUACACAAGUUAGGGGAUAAAGGCAGACAUUGAGGCAGGCAUUCUUUUAUUGGAGGUGACUGCAUAAGUAGAAAAUCUACAUACUUUGUGUUGGUAAGCAACAGGUACCGUUUCCACAAUGGGUGAGAACUAUAAAAGUGAACAGAAAGAUUAUUCAGAAGAGUAUCUUCUUGAUUGAAUUCCCAUCAUGGCUCAGAGGGUAAUGAACCUGACUGGUAUCCCUGGGGACUUAGGUUUGAUCCUUGGCCUCACUCAGUGUGUUAAGGAUCCGAUGUUACCACGAACUGUAACAUAGGUUGCAGACCUCGAAUCCCAUGUUGCUGGCUGUGGUGUAGGCUCCAACUGGACCCCUAGCCUGGGAACCUUAACAUGCCACAGGUGCAGCCCUAAAAAGACAAAAAAAAAAAAAA
rnacentral:lncRNA from 1 species